UUACAGGUGGACCCCAUGUGUCAUUUCCUCCACUCUUCCCUCUCCACAACCGUCUCCAAUUAGUGCUUGCUGCACGAUCAGAGAAACCGGCAUCUCCCCCACGUUGCUUGGCCUCUCGCCUUAGGCCCUGUAGCACUACCCCGCCAACCCUCCAGGGAACGCACUCGCUUCUGCUCAUCCAACACCCUUCUCCUAGGCGGUCCUGCAUCCCCCAUAUGGCGCUUUUCCCCUUUGUCCUUGGUCAGCGGCGGUGCUGCAGCCCGGUGCAAUACUCGUAUCCUCGACGCUCGCCAAGUGCUUGACGAAAGGCCAGCAAGCUCUGCUCCCUUUCCCGCGAUCCUCAGUCGGCGCUUCCUCUCUCCUCCAUGAUUGAGUGCGUCCGUGCUGCAGCCUCGACGUCGUCCGCCUCCUGGUGCCCCAUUGUGCGGUCGUGACGUUCACUGUCCGCAUCCGCGUUUCGCCGUUCGUCGUUGGCUCGCCUCGCCGUCGCUUCGCGUCAUGCGCGCAGCACGUUGUCGUGCCUCGCCACUAGCUUGUUUGGCCGUCUGCCGUCGUUGCAAGACUGCGAUCUAUUUCCGAGCUUCAAAGAAUCGACAGUCAAGCUUGGCGACCAACGGAUCGAACUCUUCGAGUUCUACGAGGCUGAAGAUCCUGAGCAUCUGUUUGGUGAAGGCAAGUGUCCUCUGACCCAUUAUGUCCCAUUUACUUUAUAAUACACUGUCUCGCAUACUAUGAACAACCUAAGGAUUUACUAGCUUUCUAUUUACCUUGUCCUUGAUUUACCUUUUGGGUUACUAUGGUUAGCUUCAUGCUAGCGCUUUACUUUAAUCAAUGAACAUGAUGAGAUACAAUGAUGAUACUAUGAUUUUAUUCUGGAUAUGAUGAUAUACUUGUGGCAUUUAGGGGACUCGAGCAGUUUCUCGAGUGCCUCUCCGUAAGGACCUGUUCGUUGAGAGACCACCCGGGAUAACAGUGCAACCAUGAGGGUGAAAUGGGAGGCCCUUAGCUAAUUAAUUAGAGGAACUAGAGGUGUAGUUGCUUUGCCGUCGUGCCGUCAAUGGGGUACAGGCACAGUGCUUGCUCUGCCGAGGCUGGGUGCCGAGGUUCUUUCGUUUUGCUUUUGUUAGUCACCCCCCUUCGGGGAGAGGUACUGUGUUUAUCAAACUGGAGAAACCUAAUGGGUGGCUAGGACCUCUAGGGAAUCUUUGUAAAAGCUACGUAGUGAUACCCUGCCGGACCACCUAGGAAGUGAUCAAUGGGGAGUCAUGAUCCCCGGGCAAAACGGGAAUCACGGCUCAUGGGUAAAGUGUGCGACCUCUGCAGAGGGAAUGAAACUGAUAUAUCAGCCGUGCUCACGGUUAUGAGCGGCCUUGGGAUCCUCUUUGAUUAGAGAUACAGAUGAUCUUAGAUACAAUGGUUCUAUUUAUGGUUUUGGUUCGAUGAUAAUAAUGAUGUUCCUCGAUGAGGAAAUGAUUCACGGGUUGGUUAUUACUAAAACUUGGCUUCCACUAAUAAUAAAUACUUGACCAACUAAAAGCAACUGCUUUGACCUUAACCCCACAUAAAGCUAGUCCACCUCAGCCAAAUGGGACAUUUGCUGAGUACGUUGAUGUGUACUCACCCUUGCUUUCACAAAACACCAGGUUGCCUUUGGUGCAAUCUAUGCUCAGGUAAAGAAGAAGGCGUCGAGGCGGAUCUCCAGGAGUUCCAGGGCUUCGGCGAGUUCGAGGAUUAGGCUAGCGACCUCCCCCAGUCAGCUGCCUGUGGUGGGUUUAUUUACGUUGGCUACGUUUCUACUCUGUGUACUUUGAUUAUAUUAUGUAAAUGACUCUAGUCUGUAAUAUUAUUACUUACUCUUUAUUGUGAUUUGAAGCAUUGUGCUAUGAUGAGUCAUUUAU